CAGUAGCCGCGGUAAUACGAAGGGGGCUAGCGUUGUUCGGAAUCACUGGGCAUAAAGGGUGCGUAGGCGGGCAUUUAAGUCGGGGGUGAAAUCCCAAGGCUCAACCUCGGAGCUGCCCUUGAUACUGGGUGUCUUGAGUCCGGAAGAGGUGAGUGGAACUGCGAGUGUAGAGGUGAAAUUCGUAGAUAUUCGCAAGAACACCGGUGGCGAAGGCGGCUCACUGGUCCGGAACUGACGCUGAGGCACGACAGCGUGGGGAGCAAACAGGAUUAGAUACCCGUGUAGUCCCUGUCUCUUAUAC
rnacentral:rRNA from 1 species